CGAUAACGAACGAGACCUUGACCUGCUAAAUAGACGGGUUGACAUUUUGUUGGCCCCUUAUGUCUUCUUAGAGGGACUAUCGACCGUCUAGGUGAUGGAGGCAAAAGGCAAUAACAGGUCUGUGAUGCCCUUAGAUGUUCCGGGCUGCACGCGCGCUACACUGACAGAGACAACGAGUGGGGCCCCUUGUCCGAAAUGACUGGGUAAACUUGUGAAACUUUGUCGUGCUGGGGAUGGAGCUUUGUAAUUUUUGCUCUUCAACGAGGAAUUCCUAGUAAGCGCAAGUCAUCAGCUUGCGUUGACUACGUCCCUGCCCUUUGUACACACCGCCCGUCGCUACUACCGAUUGAAUGGCU
rnacentral:rRNA from 1 species